rnacentral:rRNA from 1 species
GGGCCAGGCUGCCCGCGUCCGCUUCGGUGUGACGCGGCGACUGGUCCAUCCUCGCAAGGCAGGCGUCCCCUUCACUGGGCGGCGUCCCACUUGCGUCCUUUACUGUGAAAAAAUUAGAGUGUUUAAAGCAGGCUUUUAGCUUGAAUACAUUAGCAUGGAAUAAUGAGAUAGGACUUCGGUGCUAUUUUGUUGGUUGCGUACCGGAGUA